rnacentral:ncRNA from 1 species
CAUCAUAUGCGCGGGAGCUUGGACCUUGAUCCGGGCUGAGAGGGCAGCGAGCCGCAGACGCGGCAGGGCCGCCGACCGCCUGAACCUGACCGGGUAAUGCCGGCGUAGGGAGCUCUGUAGACGGCCAU